rnacentral:rRNA from 1 species
GACAGAGGGUGCAAACGUUGUUCGGAAUUACUGGGCGUAAAGCGCGUGUAGGUGGCGAGGCAAGUCGGGUGUGAAAGCCCUGGGCUCAACCCAGGAAGUGCACUCGAUACUGCCUAGCUAGAGUCCCGGAGAGGUUGGUGGAACUCUCGGUGUAGAGGUGAAAUUCGUAGAUAUCGAGAAGAACACCGGUGGCGAAGGCGGCCAACUGGACGGUGACUGACACUGGAGACGCGAAAGCGUGGGGAGACAACAGGGA